AUAUAAGAGGAAAAAUUUGAACUGAUUGCAACCUCUUCAUAAUGAAACGAAUUCAUUAUGGAUGCUGAAAAAUUUUCAGUAGAAAAAAUGCUAAAGCAGAAACU
rfam:Flavobacterium sp. A45 NODE_9_length_108240_cov_14.89_ID_17, whole genome shotgun sequence.